AAUAUUGCGCAAUGCGCGAAGGCCUGACGCAGCGACGCCGCGUGAGUUAUGAAGACCUUCGGGUCGUAAAACUCUGUCCUCAGGGAAGAAAAUUUGACGGUACAUGAGGAGGCAGCCCCUGCUAACUACGUGCCAGCAGCCGCGGUAAUACGUAGGGGGCGAGCGUUGUCCGGAAUUAUUGGGCGUAAAGGGUGCGUAGGCGGCCUUUUAAGACAGGUGUGAGAGCCCACGGAUUAAACGUGGGACUGCAUUUGAAACUGGAGGGCUUGAGUAUCGGAGAGGGUAGGGGAAUUCCCAGUGUAGCGGUGGAAUGCGUAGAUAUUGGGAGGAACACCAGUGGCGAAGGCGACUACCUGGACGAAAACUGACGCUGAGGCACGAAAGCUAGGGGAGCAAACA
rnacentral:rRNA from 1 species